CACCACUACCAACAAAAAACAACAACAGCCUUCAACUCAGCAUGCGAGAAAGAUGACGAACGGAGAGCAAGUAUGCAUGUCUAGAUCGGGCAAUAACUCGCCAGGAGUGAUACGUCAUCAUAACAUAUGAGGCACACAACAAAUGCACACAAGUUAUGGUGAAGCUUGUCAGGCUGAAGAAGGCUGCGCACCAACAAGCUGCUUCUCUCCACUAGCAGCUGAAUCCUGCACAGAGCAAGUUAAAGGAUGCCCUGCAAGAAGUAGAGGUGCUGCAAUCCUGUGCAGCAUUUUGUAAAGAUGAUAUGACAGAAACCUCUACAUAAACAGAGGAACGACUGAGGAGACAACCAGCGAACCAGAAGUAUAAUUUUGUAGUUAAAUGACUGCUUUCAAAAGCUGUAGAUAUGUAUCUAAACCUGC